rnacentral:rRNA from 1 species
CCUGGUUGAUCCUUCCCGUAGUCAUAUGCUUGUCUCAAAUAUUAAGCCAUGCAUGUGUAAGUAUGAACUAAUUCAGACUGUGAAACUGCGAAUGGCUCAUUAAAUCAGUUAUAGUUUGUUUGAUGGUACUUGCUACUCGGAUAACCGUAUUAAUUCUAGAGCUAAUACGUGCAACAAACCCCGACUUAUAGAAGGGAUGCAUUUAUUAGAUAAAAGGUCGACGCGGGCUUUGCUUGUUGCUCACAUAAUUCAUGAUAACUUGACGGAUAGCACGGCCUUUGUGCUGGCAACGCAUCAUUCAAAUUUCUUCCCUAUCAAUUUUCGAUGGUAGGAUAGUGGCAUACUAUGGUGGUGACGGAUGACAGAGAAUUAGGGUUCGAUUCCAGAGAGGGAGCCUAAGAAACGGCUACCACAUCCAAGGAAGGCAGCAGGCGCGCAAAUUACACAAUCCUAACACGGGAAAGUAGUGACAAUAAAUAACAAUACCUGGAUCUUCGAGUCUGGUAAUUGGAAUGAGUACAAUCUAAAUCCCUUAACGAGGAUCCAUUAGAGGGCAGGUCUGGUGCCAGCAUCCGUGUUAAUUCCAGCUCCAAUAGCGUAUAUUUAAUUUUUUGUAGUUAAAAAGAUCGUAGUUGGACUUUGGGUUGGGUCUUCCGGUUCGCCCUUUGGGUGUGCACCGGUCGUUUCGUCCUUUUUACCGACGAUGCGUUCCUAGCCUUAAUUGGCCAGGUCGUGCCUCCGGUGUUGUUAUUUUGAAGAAAUUAGAGUGCUCAAAGCAAGCCCAACCUUUGGAUACAUUAGCAUGGGAUAACAUCAUAGGAUUUCGGUCCUAUUGCGUUGGCCUUCAGGAUCAGAGUAAUGAUUAACAGGGACAGUCGGGGGCAUCGUUUUCAUAGUUAGAGGUGAAAUUCUUGGAUUUAUGAAAGACGAAAAACUACAAAAGCAGUUGCCAAGGAUGUUUUCAUUAAUCAAAAACGAAAGUUGGGAGCUCUAAGACGAUCAAAUACCGUCCUAGUAUCAACCAUAAAUGAUGCCGACCAGGGAUCGGCGGACGUUGCUUUUAGGACUCCGCCGGCACCUUAUGAGAAAUCAAAGUUUUUGGGUUCCGAGGGGGGAGUAUGGUCGCAAGGCUAAAACUUAAAGGAAUUGACGGAAGGGCACCACCAGGAGUGGGUUCCCCGCGUAGCCUGUACCCCAGCCAGGACUAAAGGAGCGGGUUAUUGGUAUCGACGAGACCAAUGUGAAAAAAUUCGCACCUUUUAUGAUUAUGACAAUUAUCGAUAAUUCUUGGGCGCGUACCAGUAGUAUCGACGCACCGAGCCGGAUAACGGGUGAAGCGAUAAACUUAUCUAGGGCUGGGUCGUCACCCCGUACUCAAACUUCCAAUAUCUUUUGUGACGUGCCGACUUGCCCGAGUUCGGUGUCAAGUUUUCAAGGGACACUAUGUCGACGCCCCGAUAUAGUGUCAAAUAGUAUAGGGUCUUUGCAUCAUUUACGGGUGCGGAGGGCAAGGAGGCUAGUCGCGUCAACCAGGACAACUAGGAUUCGGUUAGGUAGCUGGAACUUAGGGCCUUUGAAGGGAAAACAUUGGGAAAUGGUUGAUG